UAGGGAAUCUUCGGCAAUGGACGAAAGUCUGACCGAGCAACGCCGCGUGAGUGAAGAAGGUUCUCGGAUCGUAAAACUCUGUUGUUAGAGAAGAACAAGGACGUUAGUAACUGAACGUCCCCUGACGGUAUCUAACCAGAAAGCCACGGCUAACUACGUGCCAGCAGCCGCGGUAAUACGUAGGUGGCAAGCGUUGUCCGGAUUUAUUGGGCGUAAAGCGAGCGCAGGCGGUUUCUUAAGUCUGAUGUGAAAGCCCCCGGCUCAACCGGGGAGGGUCAUUGGAACCUGUGAGACUUGAGUGGAGAAGAGGAGAGUGGAAUUCCAUGUGUAGCGGUGAGAUGCGUAGAUAUAUGGGGGAACACCAGUGGCGAAGGCGGCUCUCUGGUCUGUAACUGACGCUGGGGCUCGAGAGCGUGGGGAGCAAACAGG
rnacentral:rRNA from 1 species